AUUAUAGCAUGUGACUUCUACGUAAUCUUCUCCAGAGAAAGGACAUUCUUCUGGACUAAUCUAUAAUUCGUCCUUGGCAUCAGAAUCAUCUUUGGCAGCAGCUUCUUUGUCAUCAGUUUCAGCUUCAGGUUCCUCAAUAUCCUCUUCUUCCUCAACUGCUGCAUCAGGGCUGACAUUUAAACUGCUCUUAACUGAGCUGUAGAUGCGGGAGGCAAAAUCCUUUGGGUCAUUGAGCAGGAAACCGCUCUCCAGUAAUGCUGUUUGGUACAUUAGCUGAGCCGUUUGCUCCACGCUCUCAUCCUGUGAACCAAGUACAAGCAAUUACUAACAGUUAGCCAUUUCUACAACAUAUCAUUUGAUCACAUAUAUAGAGAUUUAGUCCAAGUGUACCUCAGGGUCCUUUGCUACUCUGUCCCGAAGCUCCUUGAUAAUUGGGUGCCUAGGGUUGAUCUCAAGCACCCUUUUCCCCCGCAUAUACGCCUGCUUGCUUGCAUCUGACAGAGUUUGUGACUGCAUGAUUCUUUCCAUAUUGGCACUCCAACCAUACUUCGAUGUCACAACUACACAAGGGGUGUCGGCCAAACGGUUGCUAAUCUUGACAUCGUCUAUAUUGUCACUAGCAAGAGCACCCUUCCACCAUUUGGUUAGCUCCUUAAAUGACUCCUUGAGCUCUUUGGCUUUUGAAUCCUUGCCCAGUUUCAGGCCCUCUUUGGACACAUUUUGGAACUUAUUGUCUUCAUAAUCCAUCAGGUACUGCAUCAGGUAUUCAUCUACAGGGUCCGUGAAGAAAAUUACCUAAACAAUGAAACAAGGGAAACAUAGCAAAUGAAUCUUUAGAGCAGACAUGAUAAAUGCAUUGAUAAGAGAAUUCAAAUAUCAAAGACAAGGAACAUAGUCAAACUCACAACGCAAGAAAAGAUGACUCGUACUUUCUGUUAAAAUAAACUACUACUAGUUAUUUUGUUAUGCCGCUUUCCCAUGCGAUCUUAAGAAAGACUCAUACCUCAUAAUUUUUCUUCGUUAGCCUCUCAAGGAAUGGUGAUUUCUCCAACUGCUCUUUGCUAGCUCCAGUUAUAUAGAAGAUAUCCUUCUGUCCAGCCUUCAUCCUUGAGAUGUACUGAUCUAGGGAAGUUAGUUUACCAUCUGAUUUUGAGCUGUAAACGAGAAAAUAUUAAGACGACAAGGGAUCAGUCACCCUGAUUUGACUUAACAAUCUCACUAAGAAUAAUACUCUUAAGACACAGAGCAUACGUCUCAAAUCGGAGGAGCUUAGCCAAGCGGUUUCUGUUAGUUGCAUCUUCUAUGAUACCAAGUUUUACUGACUUUCCAAAUUCAUUCCAAAACUUUGUGUAUUGACCUUUCUUCUCGUUGUCUGCACUGGAUUCUUCGACAUCUGUAACGUCAGGAGAAACUCAGAAAUGAGAAAUUCAAUCUCUUAGGCAAUGGAUUGUUCAGAGAUAUAAACUACCUUUCUUGUCCUUGUCGUUAGAUUCAUCAGGAUCCUCAUCAGCAAUCUUGCGUAUCAUGUCAAGGGCCUUGCGGAUGAGUUUCUUCUUAAUUGUCUUCAAGCUGCUGUGCUGCUGAAGCAUUUCUCUUGAGACAUUGAGGGGUAAGGUGUCAGAAUCAACAAGACCCUAGCAUAACGUCAAACAAAAUGGUGUUAGAAACUCUUGGCCCAUACGUAAUAUAAACAGGGAAGUUCUAGAGUAACAAGAACUACCAUUAGGAAACUCAAGUACUUGGGCAACAAUUCGUCAAAUUCAUCAGAGAUAAAGACCCGUCUGACAUAUAACUUCAAGUUGGAUUUCUUGGAGUUGUAGUAGCUUUCAUAUAAAUCUUGAGGAGCCUUAGGAGGGACAAAUAGUACAGCCUUGAACUCAACAUCACCUUCAGCAUUAAAGUGACUCCAAGCAAGGGGCUUCUCAUCACUGAAGUCCUGGCAAAAUAAUACAAGAAUUUAGCAAAUGGUAAGAGAGUUCACAAAAGGUUUCUACUCUUCCCACUGCAUUUCAACUGGAAGAAAGUAAGCAAGUAGCAAUUUACCUUUGCAAGUGAGUGAUAGAAUUUCGUAUACUCUUCCUCUGUCACCUCCUUUGGAUUCCGAAGCCAUAUAGCUUUCACAUCGUUCAAAAGCUCCCACUCAUAAGUGGUUUCCUUCACUUUCUUAGUUUUAGGCUUUUUCUCAUCUUCUGGCUUCUCAGAAUCAUCUUCAUCUCCUUCUUCAGAAGAGCUGGUUUCAGCUGUUCACAACAUUGAAAGACUAUGAGGUCGCAUAAGAUUAAAAGACAAGGAGGGGGUAAACUUCAAUUCAUCUAGCAAACUCCACCCCCCAAACCCAAACAAUUUCUCCGAGCAGGAAACAGGUCUUAAAAUAUGCAUUAAACACAUUCACUACAAGUUCCAACUUCAUUAACACUGAAUAAACUUGGCAAGCCAGGUAGGAUGAAUCACACAUACAUGUUUCCUCUUCAUCAGUUGACUCGUCUUCAUCAACAGGAACCUCCUUCUCAACCUCUUUGCUUGCCCAAAGAUUUAUAGGGAAGUUGAUGAAUUCAGAGUAUUUCUUCACCAGGUCCUGCGUACAAGGUAACCCAUGCAUUAAGCAAUGUAGAGAACCUCAACAGAAGCUUCAGAAACAUAAUAUUAUUUCAGAAACAUAAAGUAUGUCCAUAGAAACUCUUAUUUUCAAUUUAAUUUGGUAGCUUGAACUGGAAAAUAAUCAAAUUCAGAGUAGAGAAUAUUCAGGAUGGAUGCUGAUGACAAGUACCAAAAUGUAAGAAUCUAAAAACUUAGCCAGCAGAAAAACAGGUUUGGCUUCUUUUUUUUUCUAACUCAAAAAAUUUAUCUUACCUCCACACAGACACACAAGCAAAAGAUUGGAUAUGCAAAAACAGAAACAGCCCAAAUAUCAGACUUUUACUUUUAGCUAGCAAUUCAUCCAUAAGCUUAAUCAUCUUAUUCUCAACAACUGUAAUACAAGACUUAUGGAAUAUCAAGCAAUUGGUCCUGUUGUUUCUUCUCUUAGAUUGCACCCUUUCAAUCAAAGGUCCAAAUAAUAAAAUAAUCCUAAGGGAGCAGAAAAACUCAUAACAAAUCAAACAAAAGGGGGAGCAGAAAAAUUCAUAUAAGAAAACAACCUGGUACUAGCUUCAAAACAAUGGGUCACAAAGGUUUGCAGCCCUUUACUGCCCUGGUCUUCGUUAUGUUCCUCAAUUUUGGAGAGUAUUUACUUCUAAUAAGCAGUAGAAUAUAAUCUAGUGGAUGAUGUGCGGGUUCAGUGAAGGAAGUGCUACAUAGUUGGGCUCAUAGAAGUGGGAAGAGAAGUCUAAGGGCAUGGAGUGUUGCCCCCUUAGCAAUCAUGUUGGGUUAUUUGGAAAGAGAUAAUUAGAAGGGCGCUUGAAGGAGUGGAACAAGAGUUUAUAAAAUUGCAAAGUAGUCUUUUGUUAAGGUUGUUUAUUUCAGCAUUAAAGUAUAUUAUGACCUACUGUGCAAAAACCACUGUCAGAAUGGAAAACAAAAUUACUCUAAAUGACUGGUUAACUAUUAAAAGUUUUGGCAUGCACCAACUCAUGAUAUAUGAAAAGAGUCUCCUUGGGACGUAUCGGUCACACACACCUUUAGUUUGUACUCGUCCAAAUAUUCUCCUGCUUCAUCUCUAAGGUGCAAUCUAAUUUCAGUUCCACGACCAAGAGGUUCAUUCCAUACAUCUUCAGAAAUGGCAAAUGCACCAUCAGCCUUAGACUCCCAGACAUAUCUGAAUGCAGAUAUUUGUUAAAUCACUAAUAAAAUUCCCAAUACAUCAAUAGUCAUUAAUCAACACAUUCACACAAGAACGUACUGUUUGUCAUCGUUAUGCUUGCUGAUGACCUCAACAUAGUCAGCUACAAGAUAGACCGAGUAAAACCCAACACCAAAUUGUCCAAUCAGAUUAAGGUCUCCACUUGUCUGCAUCUUCUCAACAAAGGCUGUUGAGCAAUAACAAGUUAGUGAACAGUAAAGAGAACUCCAAGAACACCGCCAAUCUCAUAUCCACCAGAUAGAUUACCUGAAGUUCCAGAUUUAGCUAUAGUUCCCAAGUUCUUUAUUAAAUCCUCCUUGGUCAUUCCUAUACCUCUGUCACGAAUGGAAAGAAUUUUCUUUUCUUUAUCCAGUUUAAUCUGCAAUAAACAAUACAAUCAUCAGAACAGCUUUUAAAAGAGCAACCUCCUCGUACUAGCAACCAACAGAGUCUACACAAACAACGGACACAAAUCACCAACCUGGAUCUCAAGCUUAGUGUUAUCACCUUCCCCAAGUACCUCCUUGUCAGUAAGUGACAGGAACCUAAUCUUGUCCAGCGCCUGAAUUUAACAGGAUAUUAACUUAGAAGAAAUCAUUUGCAUAUAAUGUCGAACAUCACCAGAGACUUUAAAAGUGUGCUUACAUCCGAUGCAUUCGAGAUCAGCUCCCUCAAGAAGAUGUCCUUGUUACUGUAAAGGGAGUUGAUAAUGAUGUCCAUAAGCCGAGAGACCUCAGCUUGGAACUCAAAUUUCUCUGCAUCAGCUCGGAGAGUUUUCCUAGACAUAGACUCCGAUUCCCUAUAAUGAUAUAGUGCUCAGUACAAUGAAGAUACAAAGAAGUUGAAGGCAAGGAAUCAGGGCGAAACAAACUAAAUGAAUCGACAAUUCGGAAACCUUUUAACGACAUCAGAAUCAGUGGAUAAACCAUGUGGAACAGCACCAAACUUUUCCUCAACCUUUGGCGGAUCAACAGGGGCAUCAGAUUCAGCUUCCGCAUUUGCUUGAAUCCUCCGACCUAUUGAGUAAAAAAAUCAUGUUUCAGAAUAAAGCAGUAAUGUCCGUACUCCACUAAGCAAUUCAAUCAAUCAAUCAACUAUGUAACUCCUUAAAUAAUUACGGCAGCAAAUUUUCAAGGCAGCACCAGACCAAAAAUGCCUCACAAACUUCAAAGCUAAGGCAAAUAUUACUGCCCAAUGCUCGAUCCACAGUAUUAGUUCAUCAUCUAACUAAACUAUUUAAAAUCUUACAUACAUAUAACAAGAAAAUUCCAUGAGAUCUCAAAACAAAUAGUUUACCUUGAUCUGGAAGAAGGAAAAGAAGACAUAACAGAAACAGGACCGAAGGGAUCGUCCACUUCCUCAUUUGUAUUGGAUUUCACUCUCAGACCUCAGCGGCUUUUGAAAUUUGGCUUCUAAGUAGCGCCAUUUCCAGUGAGCGACUAUAUAUAGUGAGCUCGUGCCGUCUCCGUCUGUGUCACGAGUUCGAUACCCACGACUAGGAGAUCCAUUUUCCUAAUUUUUUGCCAGCGUGGACGAUCGAACGGUUAUGAUGUGUGAUAGUAUACGUGGCGUGGUUUUAUUGGUUUCCGUCGCCUCUUGAGACGUGGAGAAAACCUUUGUUCUAUAAGUCGACGCGAACGACGACCUGGUUUCUAUCUUCUGCGCUGAGGUCCAUGGAAUAGAUCAGUUGGAAUUACUUACCGUAGCAGCUACGUCUGAGAACCACGUGUUCUUCUUUCAUUGGCAAGUACAAAAGGUGUAAGGUGAGUGGUGACCAUACAUUAUGCAGCGAAUUCAGGUCAAUAUUCGUGAUUAUGAACUAAUGUUAAUAAUUUGCGAUUUUUUAACUUCGACCAUUCCUUGUGUUAAACCAUAGGUUUUGAAAAUAUUUUUUAACUAGAGUUAAGUUCAAUGCAUAAUUGUCUAAAACUAUUUACAGAAUGACUUACAAAAUAAUUAUCUGUUACAAGCAUUCAUUAAUAUCUCGAUAAACAUGAUAACUAACUUACUAUAAUAGGUUAAACUAUACUGAUAAAAGAAAUAUUUAUACUAUCAAAUUAACUUAGAUCCUUUUAAAUAUUCUACUUAUCAUGAUACUGAUCCGUCUAUUGAUUUUUCAUAAUUAAAGAGUAGAGUCAUUUAUUAUUCUUUCUUUUGCAUGAAUUCAAUCAAAAGAUGGAAGAAAUGUAGAAUCACGUAGCGGACUUAUGAUCUGGUUAUCUUGGUUGCAUGAUAAUCGAGAAUAUUAAUAGAACAUGAUAAAGACAAGACACAUUCUUCUAAAUUUCUAUGAUGUAAAUGAGAGUUUACAAUUACGUAAGUUCUUUGUGGUAGCAAUAAUCUAGACGAGAAGCAAUAAAUUUUGUCUAUUAUUGUUUCUACUGCUAACAACAUUUGGUUCGGUUAAGGCAUUAAUUACGUUUCAUUUGCUAAACUCACGAAGCAGGGGCGGCCCUUCCCUAAAGCAAGUAAAGUAAUUGCUUUAGGCUCCAUAUUUGUGGGGGUGGAUAUUUUUUGUUACAUCUAAUAGGCUAUAUACAAGUUUUUAAAAAGUUAUGUGAAGUAAAAAUAUUUGAUUUCUUUCUAUAAUAAAUACUCCCUCUGUUCCAGUUUACGUGAACCUAUUUCCUUUUUAGUCUGUUCCAAAAAGAAUGACCCCUUUCUAAAUUUGAUAACAAUUUAGCUUAAACUUAUAAUUCUACCCUUAAUGAGAAACUUUUAUAACCACACAAAUACUAUGGGCCCCUUUUUGACUUGUUUAGGACCAUAAAUUUCAAAAGUCUUCAUUUUUUCUUAAACUCUGUACCCAGUCAAACAGGUUCACAUAAAUUAAAAUGGAGGGAGUAUAGAGAAGAAGGAUUUACAAUUGAUAUGAUUUCUGCCUAGGAAAUUAUAGUUGAAAUAAAUAUAUAAUCUAAAUUUCGUGGGAAACUUGUGAUAUAUAGAAAAAAAUAAUUUGAUGAGAAUAUUGAUUGUGAAAUCUCAUGUUCUCUUGAAGAGUCCUUUAGAGUUGAUUAUUUUAUAUACAUAGUAUUCACUUCAAAAUAGAUUUAAACAAUUCGAAACAUAUGAAAAUAUUUUUGAUUUUAUAUUUAGCGGUAAAAAACUGAGAUCACUAUAUAAUGGAAAGAGAGUUUAAAUGUAUUAGGUAUAUUGUCAAUUAUUAUGAGAAACUGAUUAUAAGAAAAUUAUUAAUAAUUUUACAUCUAAAAAAACUAAAAAAAUAGACUUCAAAUAAAAAGUUUUUUGAAAAAAGAAGUUAAAGCCCAUUAUAAUUUAGCUUCAAGCCACAAAAUUUGGGGAGAAAUUCAAAAAUAUCCAGAUUUACAACUGGUCAUUCAAAAAUAGCUCAGUUUCAAAAGUAAUCAAAAUUUAGCCAAUUUUCAUGUAAACAUAAAUCUGAGCGAAAACACUGUUCAAAACCCGAAAAAUACGCCAGUAUAUUAUACUGGAGUUCCAACAAAAAUAUGCUUGAACUCCAGCAUAUUAUACUGGAGUUCCAGCAUAAGUACACUAGAACUCCAGCAUAAUAUACUGGAGUUCCGGCAAGGAUAAUUGUCCAGUAUAAUAUACUGGAGUUUGGAGCACUGGUGCUCCAGUCUCCAGUAUAUUAUACUGGAGUCAGCAAAGUAUACCGGUCCAGCAUAACAUGCUGGAGUUCAUACACAGGUGCACCGAACUCCAGUAUAUUAUGCUGGAUCGAUCUCUGUUGCAGCAAAAUAGUGGCUAUUUUUCAUUGACUUCGUAAAUGCUGGCUAUUUUUGAAUGAUCACUCCGAACACUGGCUAUACCGUGCUAUUUUUACCAAAAUUUGUCGGGCUGUCCCAGGAAGUAGUAUAUGAAGGUGCAUUUUUGCAUAUCUGGUACAUUCGUAGGAAAAGAUUCUUUUAUUCAUUUAUAGAGUCAUGUAAAAAUGAUUUAAAUGUAACUGUUAUAUGAAUUUACUAAUAAUUGACGUAUCCCCUAUGAAGCUGAAAUUUCUUUAUGCUUUCUCGCUUUUAAGUUCCUCAUAGGGACAAAAUAAGUAUGGGGCUAACUGCUAUACAACAAGGUAAGUCUGGAUUGACUAUUUUCAAAGGUAACCCCUCUUGUAGAUUUGGAAAAUCUCUAGUAACCUACAUCCACGCAAUAAAAGAUUUCUCCUGGAUAUUCAAUUAUCACAUUGCGAAUCAUCUUGCAUCGCAUGAGGUUAUACAUAUUAAAUUUGGUCAUAAUAAUUGUAUGAUAUGGCACUUCUGAGAUAAAAUUCAUUGAUGAUUCCGAGGCAUACAAAAACACAUUUUUGUUCCAAUUCAAAAUUACUAGCACGCCAUGAAACUUUCAAUAGACCUGCAAUCAUACUGAUUUUAGGUAGCAAAAUCUAAACCAGCAAAGAGGUCCUCCAUGGACUAGGCUUGAAAAUUAGAUGGUGCAUCUGGGAGAUUGGUGUACUUAGCAAGGGUAUCUAUAAGGAUAGUAGCUGGAGGUAAAUAGGGGGAAAAGGAUCGCAGAUUACAUUAUGUUGCAGAAAACUCAGCAACGUUCUCAUACACAAAUCUGUGAAGAUGCAAGACAGACAAAAAUCCUGAUAACUUGUAACAUUACCCUACGGACUAACAAUUGUAAACUUAAAUUAUCCACAUGCACUUUGAUUAUAGCAUGUGACUACUACGUAGUUUUAUCUAGAGAAAGGACAUUCUUCUGGACUAAUCUAUAAUUCGUCCUUGGCAUCAGAAUCAUCUUUGGCAGCAGCUUCUUUGUCAUCAGUUUCAGCUUCAGGUUCCUCAACAUCCUCUUCUUCCUCAACUGCUGCAUCAGGGCUAACAUUUAAACUGCUCUUAACUGAGCUGUAGAUGCGGGAGGCAAAAUCCUUUGGGUCAUUGAGCAGGAAACCACUCUCCAGUAAUGCUGUUUGGU
rnacentral:lncRNA from 1 species